rnacentral:tRNA from 5 species
GCUCGUCAGGCUCAUAACCUGAAGGCCGCAGGUUCAAAUCCUGCCCCCGCAACCA